CCAGCACAACAUCCAUUUUAUCCAUAAUUUCCUCUCUCUCUCUCUCUCUCUCAAAUCCCUAAUUUCAUUUUCUCCUCCUCCGGACCUCACCUCCUCUAAAUUAAACUAAAAUGCGCUACUCUCUUGAAAUUGGAAUCAAGAAGAUUCGAAGAUAAAUCGAUGGUUUCUUAAUCUUUUACCACAGAAAUGAGAUUCUUAAACGGGUUUAGUUAGUGUUGUCUUCCCAAGUCCCCCAUAUGGUGGUGAAUGGAUGGGGGACUGGAAAGAUUACAUUUCCUCAACUUUUCUACAAACACAACAAUAUCUCCAGGAAAGCACAGAAAUUCUACUACAGGGUUCUCCUCUCUGGUGUGGCACCACUUGGGAAGGAUACUAUGGAAGAAUGUGCAAGGAAUUUACCAGAAGCUAAAAUCAUUCAAGGUUAUGGGAUAACAGAGAUUUGGGGAAUUGUUUUCUUCGAGAAUCGGUACGAGGGAGUUCAGACUCUAGCUUAACAGGAGUCCCUCUCUCAGUAGUUGAGAGCCCCAAAAUUGUGUUUUCUGACAUUCUUCCACUGCUCAGUUUGGUGAAAUUUGGGUUCAAGGUGAAAAUGUGAUGCAAGGGUAUCUCAACAAUUGGAAUCCAAGUUGACUAUAGAUAAUCAAAGUUGGGUUGGCACAGGAAUUUUGACAAACAAGGACAACUUUUUGAUGUCGACCGGAUAAAGAAUUCAUCAAAUAUAAAGGAAUUCAGAUAGCACUAUUCGAGAUUGAACUGUUGCUGGUUUCUCAUCCUGAAGUAUUAGAUGCAGUCGCUAUUUCGUAUCUUGAUUCGGCGGCUGGUGUGGUCCCAAUAGCAUAUAUUGUGUGUUCUUCCAACAGCUUACUGAAUGAAGUAGAUGUUCAGAAAUUGAUUGAAGCACAAGUAGCACCAUUCAAAAGAUUGCAUCAGGUAACAUUUUUCAGUAGUGUUCUGAAAUCCGGUUCAGGAAAGAUCCUAAGAAGAGAGCUUAUAGGUAAGGUUCAGGCAGGAUAUGUGCUCACCAAGAUUACAUAAAUGGGUCUGUAGAGCUAAUCAUUAGGGAAAACAAAACUGGAAGGAAGUGGAUUUUUGGUGGAUGCUAAUAACAGAGCUGCAUGGUAGUAGCAGCUAGAACAAAAAAGAAUAAAUUUAAUGAAUGCAUAAGAAAUUGAAACACCUGUUUACAAUUUGCAGCAUAAAAAAGCAUGAACCUGAGAAGAUUUUGGAUUAAACGGGGGAAACACCGUCGCAAGUGCAAACAUCACCAUCAUCUUGAUUAGGUUCAAAACUGAUGCAACAACAGAAGAGACCCAACAAUAACAUAAAAGCUGAAGCUGUUAUCAGCGCUUCUGCCCAAUUCAAGUACUUCUCCAUGAAAAACUUGCUAUUAUCGCUUUGGAUGUUGGUGUUCCUCUACAACUGCACCAAUUACCUUUCAUCUUCUCGAUUUCAGAACCUAAGAAGUGUUGUUGCCAACUCACAAACUAAAGGUUGUAUCAUCAGCUGCAGAAUGAAAUGAUAAAAAGAGAUUGGAGUGACUGUUACACAUGUUUUUGUGUUUGAGACCCACCAAAAGGUCCAUUUCUUCAAACCUUGUUCGUUGCCUUUAAGUUGGAAUGACUAGUAGUUUUCAGUAUUUGUAAGUCAUUUGGCAUGGACCAUUUUUUGAUCUAGAUGACUUGGCCGUCCGGUUAAAGUGAUCGAUUUUCUGUCUGCAUAACUUCAGGCUGAGAUUCGGAUUCUUUGAA